GAUGAACGCUAGCGGCAGGCUUAAUACAUGCAAGUCGAGGGGCAGCAUGUCCCGAGCAAUCGGGAUGCUGGCGACCGGCAAACGGGUGCGGAACACGUACAGAACCUUCAUUCGGGCGGGGAAUAGCACAGAGAAAUUUGGAGUAAUACCCCAUAGGACAACGGAGUGGCAUCACUUUGGUGUUAAAGAUUUAUACCUUUAGAAUGGCUGCGCGGCCGAUUGGGUAGUUGACGGGGUAACGGCCCACCAGGCCUGAGAUCAGUAACUGGUGUGAGCACACGACCAGUCACACGGGCACUGAGACACGGGCCCGAUUCCUACGGGAGGCAGGAGUAAGGAAUAUUGGUCAAUGGACGAAAGUCUGAACCAGCCAUGCCGCGUGGAGGAUGAAGGUCCUCUGGAUUGUAAACUUCUUUUAUAUGGGACGAAAAAAGGGUUUUCUAACUCGUCUGACGGUACCAUAUGAAUAAGCACCGGCUAACUCCGUGCCAGCCGCCGCCGUAA
rnacentral:rRNA from 1 species